CCCAACCCAAAUCCAUCAACGACCUUCACAAGAAAAGCUAGCUAACGUCAGUACAACUCUUCUUCUUCUUCCUCCGCUGCGCCAUAGCCCAAGUUCUUCUCAGUUCUAACAAUGGAGAAAGGGGAUUCGAAAGUUACAAUUACUUUGUUCAUCAUUAUAUUGAUUCGCAUCGUGUAUGCCAGAAUGGGAAACCUCUUAUUAGCUCCAAGUCCAAGGCUCCAGUAUGUACCCUCAUAGACAUAGUUUUGGGUUAAGGUUUAGUCCUAGGUUCUACGUUGCUGCUACUACCAAUAACAUGAGCCUUCAAAAAAAAUCUCGCGCCCUCCACAACUCCGAGAUUGGGAUCAAGAUGGCAGAAACUGCUCAGUUCAUGCAUAUCUAUCGAAGCAGGGAAGUUGGUCAAUCAUAUUUAACUUCUGUUUGGACAACUUUGAUUGCAAUGGCUCAUGCACUCUGGCUAAUCACUAAAAUUAGACCCCAAGUGAUUCAACAGGCCAGUGACUUGUGUUCCGCUAUGUGCAAUUGAAUUCUUUUUUAAGGUAAUUGGGUAGAUGGUCAUCAGUUUUCCAUGUCAAGAGUAUAGCAAGACAGAGAAGGCUCUCAUUAAGUGGCUUACUUCUUGACAAGUUAUGAAUAGCUGGUGAGUUCUUUGUGCAAUGGCCACAGCUUCAAAGGCAAUAUUCACGAGCUCACUAUGUUGGUUGUCUCAUGUAGUUGAAUGAAUUCAGCCUCCGACAUUGGUACUUUCACUUCAACCUCCAAGUUUUUGCAAAGUAAGGUCAACUGUAGUUUGUUUUUACUUUCUUUGGGGCUCGACUUGCAAUGUUUACUUUGAAGUUUGAACUUGAAGCCACCUCUUAAAAUAAUUUCCUAAUAUAUAUAUGGUUGGAUUAAGCAAUAUUACACUACUCAAUAUUUUUUAAUUAAAUAUGAAUUUUGAUGAAUCCUCUGUUAGAUUACAUUAUCUUCAUAUAUUCUUCAUACUUGCAAAAUUUUAAGGUGAUCAAAAAUUAAGAACAUGUAAUUAACAUGA